rnacentral:rRNA from 1 species
UACGAAGGGGGCUAGCGUUGUUCGGAAUUACUGGGCGUAAAGGGCUUGUAGGUGGCCAACUAAGUCAGACGUGAAAUCCCUCGGCUUAACCGGGGAACUGCGUCUGAUACUGGAUGGCUUGAGUGUGGGAGAGGGAUGCGGAAUUCCAGGUGUAGCGGUGAAAUGCGUAGAUAUCUGGAGGAACACCGGUGGCGAAGGCGGCAUCCUGGACCAUUACUGACACUGAAAAGCGAAAGCCAGGGGAGCAAACGGG